rnacentral:rRNA from 1 species
AUUGAACGCUGGCGGCGGGCCUAACACAUGCAAGUCGAACGAGUGGCGGACGGGUGAGUGAUGGCUGGGCAACGGCCUGCUGGAGGGGGAUAACUGCUGGAAACUGUAGCUAAUACCGCAUACCAUCAGAUGUGCCCAAAUGGGAUUAGCUUGUUGGUGGGGUAACGGCUCACCAAGGCGACGAUCCCUAGCUGGUCUGAGAGGCUGACCAGCCACACUGGAACUGAGACACGGUCCAGACUCCUACGGGAGGCAGCAGUGGGGAAUAUUGCACAAUGGGCGCAAGCCUGAUGCAGCCAUGCCGCGUGGAUGAAGAAGGCCUUCGGGUUGUAAAGUACUUUCAGCGGGGAGGCGUUACCCGCAGAAGAAGCACCGGCUAACUCCGUGCCAGCAGCCGCGGUAAUAC